rnacentral:rRNA from 1 species
GACGGGGGGUGCAAGCGUUAUCCGGAAUCACUGGGCGUAAAGCGUCUGUAGGUGGUGAUGCAAGUCACUGGUGCAAAACUCUGGCUCAACCGGAGGAAAGCCAGUGAAACUGCAUGACUAGAGUGUGGGAGAGGUAGAAGGAAUUCCCUGAGUAGCGGUGAAAUGCGUAGAUACAGGGAAGAACACCGGAGGCGAAAGCGUUCUACUGGAACACAACUGACACUGAGCGACGAAAGCUAGGGGAUCGAAUGGG